GGGAGUAUGUUGGUUGUGAUUCUGGUCUCUAUUGCAACAUGAGGAAUGUGAAAAGAUUUGCUUUGAGCACAUCAUUGGAGGUUGUCGCUUUGGAUAUCUUUCCCAAAAAAUGGAUAGAGAAGCAAUAAUAAAUUCUGUUUUUAACUAAUCACUUUUUAUUUGCGUAUACUUUUUUCAUUUUUCAUCAAUUUUUGAGCUGAGAAUGGUG
rnacentral:lncRNA from 1 species